rnacentral:rRNA from 1 species
UGGCGGACGGGUGAGUAACGCGUGGAUAACCUGCCGUAUACCGGGGGAUAACACUUAGAAAUAGGUGCUAAUACCGCAUAAGCGCACAGCUCCGCAUGGAGCGGUGUGAAAAACUCCGGUGGUAUACGAUGGAUCCGCGUCUGAUUAGCCAGUUGGCGGGGUAACGGCCCACCAAAGCGACGAUCAGUAGCCGGCCUGAGAGGGUGAACGGCCACAUUGGGACUGAGACACGGCCCAGACUCCUACGGAAGGCAGCAG